UCCGAAAGGUUUUGAUAACUCUCGAUUUGGUGGAGACGAGACACAAUUCGAUCCGGCUUCCGAACAACACGAUCUGAAACCCUGCAAUUUUUUUUCGAUAUUUUUCUUUUAGUUACGAGCACCAAAGGAGUAACCACAGAAAAUUUGAGCUUAAACAAGUGAAACACAUGGCCUGCGGAAUUUUUUGAAGAUUGUGAAAAAUGUGAAAAAAACUUGACGAGGUGAAAACUCAAAAUUUGGAGGUGAAUUUGGAGGUUCUAUAAUUUUCAAACCCACCAAUGGAGGGGACAGACAUAUCUGAAAUUUUUUUCUGAUCAAUUUUGAUAUAUGGAACGUUGAAAUCGGAGUUCGUAUGCGAAAGUUAUGGCUAUUUUACGAACGGACUCCAAAUUAGAGGACAAAAUGGUACGAAAGUAGGAAAAAUUCGCGGCGGUGGCUAGAAAUUGAUGGAAACGGUGGGAAAAAACACACAAACUGGACUCUAACAAGACCUAACUAGCAACAAGACCUCGACCAGGACACAAACUCAACACUGUGGACUGUGAAACUGAAAUAUACAAAGGCUAUGGCGCGGAAGGGUUGUAGGACAAUAAAACGAUAUGACACUGGACUUAUGGGACAAACACAAGAACACUCAAAAGUAAGGGUAGAUGUGAACCUAAUGGUAUACCUAAAGCUUUGAUUACCACAUGAUGAGAAUAAAGGUGAUCCGAUCUUCUGAAAGGUUCUGGUAACUCUCAAUUUGGUGGAGACGAGACACAAAUCGAUCCAGCUUCCGAAUAACAUGAUCCGAAACGCUACAAUUUUUUUUUAUUUUUUUGAUACUUUUCUUUUAGUUAGAGCACCAAUGGAGUAACCACAGAAAAUUUGAGCUUAAACCAGUGAAAAACAUGGCCUAUGAAAAUUUCUGAAAAUUGUGAAAAAACAUCACGAGGUGAAAACUCAAACUUCGGAGGUGAAUUUGGAGGUUCUAAAUUUUCAAACCUACCAAUGGAGUGACAAACAGAUCCAAAAUUUUUUCUGAUCGAUUUUGAUAUAUGGAAUGUUGUAAACGGAGCUCGUAUGUGAAAGUUAUGGCUAUUUUACGAACGGACUCCAAGUUAGAGGACAAAACGGUCCGAAAGUGGGAAAAAUUUGCGGUGGUGGCUAGAAAUUGAUG
rnacentral:lncRNA from 1 species